rnacentral:rRNA from 1 species
GUCGAGCGGAACGAGUUAUCUGAACCUUCGGGGAACGAUAACGGCGUCGAGCGGCGGACGGGUGAGUAAUGCCUAGGAAAUUGCCUUGAUGUGGGGGAUAACCAUUGGAAACGAUGGCUAAUACCGCAUGAUGCCUACGGGCCAAAGAGGGGGACCUUCGGGCCUCUCGCGUCAAGAUAUGCCUAGGUGGGAUUAGCUAGUUGGUGAGGUAAUGGCUCACCAAGGCGACGAUCCCUAGCUGGUCUGAGAGGAUGAUCAGCCACACUGGAACUGAGACACGGUCCAGACUCCUACGGGAGGCAGCAGUGGGGAAUAUUGCACAAUGGGCGCAAGCCUGAUGCAGCCAUGCCGCGUGUAUGAAGAAGGCCUUCGGGUUGUAAAGUACUUUCAGCAGUGAGGAAGGGGGUGUCGUUAAUAGCGGCAUCUCUUGACGUUAGCUGCAGAAGAAGCACCGGCUAACUCCGUGCCAGCAGCCGCGGUAAUACGGAGGGUGCGAGCGUUAAUCGGAAUUACUGGGCGUAAAGCGCAUGCAGGUGGUUUGUUAAGUCAGAUGUGAAAGCCCGGGGCUCAACCUCGGAACUGCAUUUGAAACUGGCAAACUAGAGUACUGUAGAGGGGGGUAGAAUUUCAGGUGUAGCGGUGAAAUGCGUAGAGAUCUGAAGGAAUACCAGUGGCGAAGGCGGCCCCCUGGACAGAUACUGACACUCAGAUGCGAAAGCGUGGGAGCAAACAGGAUUAGAUACCCUGGUAGUCCACGCCGUAAACGAUGUCUACUUGGAGGUUGUGGCCUUGAGCCGUGGCUUUCGGAGCUAACGCGUUAAGUAGACCGCCUGGGGAGUACGGUCGCAAGAUUAAAACUCAAUGAAUUGACGGGGGCCCGCACAAGCGGUGGAACAUGUGGUUUAAUUCGAUGCAACGCGAA